rnacentral:rRNA from 1 species
UACGUAGGUGGCAAGCGUUGUCCGGAAUUAUUGGGCGUAAAGCGCGCGCAGGCUGUCCUUUAAGUCUGAUGUGAAAGCCCACGGCUCAACCGUGGAGGGUCAUUGGAAACUGGGGGACUUGAGUGCAGAAGAGGAGAGUGGAAUUCCACGUGUAGCGGUGAAAUGCGUAGAGAUGUGGAGGAACACCAGUGGCGAAGGCGACUCUCUGGUCUGUAACUGACGCUGAGGCGCGAAAGCGUGGGGAGCAAACAGG